GAUGAACGCUGGCGGCGCGCCUAACACAUGCAAGUCGAACGAUUAAAGCACCUUCGGGUGUGUAUAAAGUGGCGAACGGCUGAGUAACACGUGGGCAACUUGCCCCUUUCAUUGGGUUAGGUCCGGGAACGCGUGGUAAAUACCGAAUACUUCGAGACUUCCGCAUGGGAGAUCCGAGAACGUCCCGGUGGGGGGGGAUGGGCGGGCGGCUUGUUAGCCUGUUGGGGGGGUAACGGCCUACCACGGCAAUGAUGGGUAGCUGGGUGUAGAAACCGACCAGCCAGAUGAGGACUGAGACACGGCCCAGACUCCUACGGGAGACAGCAGUGGAGAAUCUUGCACAAUGAGCGAAAGCCUGAUGCAGCGACGCCGCGUGCGUGAUGAAGGCCUUCGGGUUGUAAACCGCUGUCAGCAAGGACGAGGCGAAAGUGACGGUACCUGCAGAAGAAGCCCCGGCUAACUACGUG
rnacentral:rRNA from 1 species